CCGGCAUGUCUAGCAUGCGAGUCAUUGUAGCAUACAAGGCAUACGGCUCAGUAACGCGUAGUCAACCUAACCUAUGGACGGGAAUAACCUCGGGAAACUGAGAAUAAUGCCCGAUAGAACAUUAUGCCUGGAAUGGUUUAUGUUCCAAAUGAUUUAUCGCCAUAGGAUGGGACUGCGGCCUAUCAGUUUGUUGGUGAGGUAAUGGCCCACCAAGACUAUUACAGGUACGGGCUCUGAGAGGAGUAGCCCGGAGAUGGGUACUGAGACACGGACCCAGGCCCUAUGGGGCGCAGCAGGCGAGAAAACUUUGCAAUGUGCGAAAGCACGACAAGGUUAAUCCGAGUGAUUUCUGCUAAAGAGAUCUUUUGUUAGUCCUAGAAACACUAACGAAUAAGGGGUGGGCAAGUUCUGGUGUCAGCCGCCGCGGUAAAACCAGCACCUCAAGUGGUCAGGAUGAUUAUUGGGCCUAAAGCAUCCGUAGCCGGCUCUGUAAGUUUUCGGUUAAAUCUGUACGCUCAACGUACAGGCUGCCGGGAAUACUGCAGAACUAGGGAGUGGGAGAGGUAGACGGUACUCGGUAGGAAGUGGUAAAAUGCUUUGAUCUAUCGAUGACCACCUGUGGCGACGCGGUCUACCAGAACACGUCCGACGGUGAGGGAUGAAAGCUGGGGGAGCAAACCGGGAUUAGAUACCCCGGGUAGUCCCAGCUGUAACUAUGCAAACUUCAGUGAAUGCAAUCCUUGGUGGCCAAAUGCAGGUGCCUGGCCA
rnacentral:rRNA from 1 species